rnacentral:rRNA from 1 species
CUGCUGCCUCCCGUAGGAGUCUGGUCCGUGUCUCAGUACCAGUGUGGGGGACCUUCCUCUCAGAACCCCUACGCAUCGUCGCCUCGGUGGGCCGUUACCCCGCCGACUAGCUAAUGCGACGCAUGGCCAUCCUAUGCCGGAGUCGCCUCCUUUGACCACCUGGAGAUGUCUCCAAAUGGCGUUAUGCGGUAUUAGACGGAAUUUCUUCCGCUUAUCCCCCUGCAUAGGGCAGGUUCCAUACGUGUUACUCACCCGUGCG